UACAGAGGUCUCAAGCGUUGUUCGGAUUCAUUGGGCGUAAAGGGUGCGUAGGCGGUUUGGUAAGUCUUGUGUGAAAUCUAUGGGCUCAACUCAUAGUCUGCACGAGAAACUGCCGGGCUUGAGUGUGGGAGAGGUGAGUGGAAUUUCCGGUGUAGCGGUGAAAUGCGUAGAUAUCGGAAGGAACACCUGUGGCGAAAGCGGCUCACUGGACCACAACUGACGCUGAUGCACGAAAGCUAGGGGAGCAAACAGG
rnacentral:rRNA from 1 species